rnacentral:rRNA from 1 species
GUGCAAAACCGAUAGCGAACAAGUACCGUGAGGGAAAGAUGAAAAGAACUUUGAAAAGAGAGUUAAAGAGUACCUGAAACUGUUGAAAGGGAACCGUAACAUGUCCAGUGUUGUAUCUCUUAUAUAUUUCAUUAGUACAGUAAUGCACUGGUGCCCUGUAUAAGAGUGUGACGUCAAAGUCAGUUUGUAUAUUGCGGGAGAUGGUUAAUAAGGAGGUGCGUCACUUUUGUGUCAGUUAUACCUUGUUAACUAGUUGCCGUGGUUGAGACUGAGGUGCCUAC